AUCGCCAGUGCGAACAUCUUAGUCAGCACAAGCUCAGACUUCUAAAAUUGCGCAGCCGUGUGCUGUGAGGGAGGGAUACAGCUUCUGCAGCUUCCUGCUUCCCUGGAUCAGCCAAGGAUGAAGGCUACAGGAUCUGGUGCUCCUCUGGCAGGAAUUGCUGAGCCCAGGUCAGAAAUCCUCAGACCAAAGCAAACAGUGCCACAGAAAAAUGCUGUAAGACAACCCAGUUUUGAGGGAAGUGCCCCUGAUAACUUCUCAGCUCCAGAGAGAAGCAGUGGAGGCUGGGGCCACUGAGUCUCCAUGGAAGUCAGAGGACCACAGGACCAUGAGACACAGCUCCUGAACUGUGGGCACUUGCUCUUGCUGCAAGCACUAACCCAGGGAAGCCUAGGUGUCUACCUCCCUGCUCUCCUCCAGCUCUGCAAAUAAAUUCUAGCUUCUGUCAUUUGGAGGUGUAGCUGGGGAGCAGAGUUCAUGCCAGUGUGUCUUCUGAGGAACAGGAGGCAGCUGAUGCCGGCCGGCUGGAUGCCAAGCAGGUCAGGCCUCUGCAGCUGAAACUGCCCGAGAUUCUUAAGUGGGAUGAUGAAUCAGCUGUGUCCUUUAGGACACAUCCUCUCUUGGACAUGCUGCUGGGAUGUCGUGUCUUUCUGCUGCUUCCCCGUGAGAGUGUGCUCAGAGCUGCUGGCUGAUGACACUGGUAAUGUCCGUAGCCAGACAUAUGCUCAUGGCCUGGAAUGAAGUCGGCUGCAAUUUCAUCCUAAGGGAGUCGCUCAACAGGGGUUUUGUGGAGGCAGGACGCAGGCUCUGGUGGAGUUGCACGUGUGCUGUUAGACCUCCAACUGCACUCCCCCUGCCUUCAGCUUUGUGGGAAUGAGGAGCAGCAGGCUCAGAAAUACAGCCAGUCUGGUGCACAUCUGGAGGCAGUAAUUGGAGUGCCUGUCUCUGUGCUAGAUGAGAGCCUGUGGGGCAUUUAGGGAGUGCAGGUCUGGGCCGUGUAUCACCCUGUCACCAGGACCAAGCUGGGAGAGGUCAGUACAUGUGCACAGCUCGGAGCAAUGCGUGCUGUGCUCGAGGGCGGGGGGAUGGGAGGUUUGAAACCAUCACUGGUAUUUUAUCUUCAGUUUGGCACGGCUCAGGUUUGUCAGCAAAACACCAUGGUCCUGAAAUUUCAAACCUGAGGCGGAGCUGGGAAGAACAUCCUAGAGCUCCUGGGUUUCUGUCUAGGGCUUUGGACACAGCUUCAGUCAAAGAUUCCCCCUUCCUGAAAGAAGAGAGAUGUCAAAGUGUAAUGUUUACAUCAGUUGUGUGAAGUCCACUCAGACCUAUUCAACCCCCUGCCUCUGUGUAAUUUUUUUUUUGGCAAGCAUUAACUAAUAAGGAAGGGAGUAAAUCUUGCUUGAAGUUAUUUUUCUUCCUGCUUCUGUGUCCCACCCCCAGGCGCCCCAUGGCAGGUGCUACAGAGGCGAAAACAGUGCUCCUGCAGAGACAGAUUAGCAGCACACAAAAUGAUCUCUCUCCUCCUUGUGCACCCCAGAGCCCGGAAACUCCUCCAUCUCUGCAGCCUUGCAGCCCAGCUGUCCCAAACCCCAGACAGCAGGGAUGGAUAACAGCAGGCUGCUCCCUGCACUGCAGCCCAGGCGAUGGAGGAGAUAAUGGGAAUGAUUUCUUGGUACAAGUACAAGCAUGAAUCCUCUGAAGAAAUACUGAGCCUAGUUGUGGUGGAAAAAAAAGGAAAAUAAAGCAAAUUCACACAGGUGCACACACACAACCUCGACCUCAUGUAACGUUGGAGGGUUUGGUCGUGUCUGACUUUUUUUCUCAGCUGCUGGUCCUUGAAUUCCUCCCAAUGUGGCUCCACCACUGGAGCAACAGCUGGCAUGCUGAGGUGCACUGCAGGGCUGCCAGCUCUGCUCACUGCAGAUCAAACCUUGCACUCUGUUACUGGGGGAUUUCCUUGAAGCCCUCGUGCCUUUUUGCCAGAGUGCUCAGAUUGUGUGAGAAUCGUGCCUUUUGAUGGAAGAAAAAGGGCCGGUGGGGGGAAGCUAAUUAGGAAAAAAUGUUUCUAGCACUCGUGAUUGUGUAGGAAAAUGAACAAAUAGGAAAUGAGUGUGACCUACAAUGAGUAAAAUAAUAAUCUUUCUGCCCCGAGCAGGGCUGUAUGGCUCUUUGGAUGACAUGGUGGUGGUGGGGGGGGGGGUAUGGAAGAACAUGGAGCCCUGCUCAGUGCUGCAGGCCUGCCACUGCAACUGAAAAGAGUUAUUUUGCCACUCUGGAUGCUAACUCAUGACAGGCAAUUGCUUUAGCUAUGUCGAAUGAAGCGCAAGGAAGGGUCCAUCACAGAUUAACUCCUAAGCCUCAGGGUGUUUUGCUAAGUGAGGUGCCAGACCAGUCUGUGGAAAUCUUGUUCUUGAUUUAUUAUUCAUUUUAAAUGUUAGAUCCUGCCUGCAAAGAUGAAGUGUUUCCUGGCCUCACUUUCCAGCAUUGCUAUUCUUUCCAUCCUCUAUUGCUUCCACACUCGGUACAGAGACUUGAACUUUCAAUACCUGCAAAUUUCCAUCUGGUUUGUUAGCAGCACUCCUCAGGAAGGGGAUUAUGAAAAGUUGGAGAUGCUACAGUGUUUCAGACUCAUUUGACUGCGGUGGCUGAACUGAACCACUUCUGACUUGCCCUCCUGAAGGUGAACGGAGGACAAGGCUGUGCAGUGGGGCUGGUGACAACUCGGUUUCAAUCUCUGCUGCAGCAGCCUGGCUGAGGUAUGCAAUGCAGAGGAGCUUGUGGAGGGGCUCACCAGCCCCUUCCAGCUAUUCAGUACUACUCUGUGGGCACAAGAGUGUCACAAACUGGCUGGCUAAACCAGGCUUGCAGCUCUGGUGUAUGGUCAUUAUGGUGGCAAAAAGCAGCUGGGCUGUUCCGGUGAAUCAGGCUGUGCGCAUAGGAAGGCUUGCCAGCAUCUCGGCUCUCCUGCUUCCUUCCACUGCUGCAGAUAACGCCGUGCAGCCUCCCAGGGAGGGAGGUGCAUUUAUGCCCUUACCAAAGGUGUUUUCUGUUGAUAUGGUGUGUUCCUGCACAUGGAGGGGAAGGCAGAUAUGGCCAGACAUCCUCUUCCAGAUCCUGUUGCGUGGGUGAGAGUGGCUGCUGGCAGUGGGGUUGCUCCUUCGUGCUUCUCCGGCUGGAGGCAGGCACCCAUUUGGGGAUGCUUCCCGGAAAAUACAAUUGUACAGUGAGCAGAUCCUUUCAGUCCAUGGCUUUGCACCUUCUGCUCCUGGCGGGGCUGGAAGGAGAACCAGGAAAUGGUGCUGGAAGAGUAUGGCCAAAAAUGGUCAAGACCAGGUAAGGAGCAGCCAUAUGGCAGACGAGCUGCUUGCUCCAUAAUUAAGCCAAGUCCUCGGGAUGCAAGAGGUUUGGCUGUGCUCAGUUGAGAGCCUGGCUUCCUGUGUGUUCCUCCCUGCUAUGAUUCUGACCAGAAAUUCCAUUUUUGACCUGAAAAAUCUUCCAGAUGAAAAUUUAAUUAUAAAUGUGAUGUAUUCCCACAAGAAACUCCAGUGUCAGCAAAUAAGCAUUUUUUUCUGAAAAACUGUUUUAUUCACACACACAAGAACCUGGCUCCCACUGAUUCCAUGCUAGAGCAUUACCCCGGUAAAAACUCUGUUGAUUUGUUUAAUAAAAAUGAUUAUGGUUUGCAGUUAGCAUCCAUUAGGCAUACAAGUUGCAAAGAAUUGACACCGGUCAUGAAGCCCUCUCGCACAGGAUAAAUUUUCUUGGCAAGUUAUUAAAUCAUGACCUAUGCUAUAGCUGUGAUUUAUAAAAGGUUUCUGGCAGUGGAGAAGUGGGAUGAAUCAAUUUUGGGAGUGCUAACCCAGAUAACAACAUUUUCUUUCCUUUGGUGCAACAAAUUACUUGCUUUCUGCAGAGCAAAGGUGCAAGCAUUUCCCUCCAGACAAUGUGACUUGUAACAUGGACUUUGUAAAUAUUUUCCUUGUGUAAAGGUCUUUGCUCGUGGUUGUUAUUGGUUCCAUAUUUACUUGGGAUCUUUGCAUGCAGAGGAUGGCUUUUGGCUUGUGAAGAGGAACUUCUCGGAGGCUGGACCAUUUCCCCUCACACUCCUGAGCGUCUCCAGGAUUGUGUGUAAUGCUCAGAAAGGCUGCUAGGGGCAAGGUGCUUUUCCACGUGUAACAGAAAACUCUGCAAGCUCAUUAAUAAAGGCCAAAUAAAAUAAAGCUUUGAAAGUCAACAUAUUCGAGAAGAUACGCUGUUCUGGGAAACAAGCAGAGAGGUGUGUAUUUAUGUGAACAAAAGAAGUCCAAACUGUAAACCAUAAUAUAUCUGUUAGUUCAUUAAUGCAUCUGAUGCUGACUGAUUCCAGGGGUGUUCCUGCUGCCCAGCAGCAAAAGUGCAAAUAAGUGGACAGCUGUGAUUUAGUGCCAAAUAUUUGAACACAUCGUGACAAUUCGGGCCACCCACUCUCUUAAGUAAAUACAACUUCUGGAGAAUAAUUUCGAACUGGGCUGAAGUGCAGAGCAGCCACUUUCAUGUGCAUCUCAGCCAACUGGCCCUCAAGUAUUUGGGGCCAAACUUUGCCUUCUGUUACACCCUGGGAGCCCUCAUUCACUCCAGAGUUUGCACUACGUAGCUGAAGGGCAGAGCUGGCUCCUGAUGUUAAUCUGACUUUUUCUAGCUCAGUAAGUACAAUUUCACAUGUAAAUGUGAAUGUGGAACAGAUCUGGACUCGAUUAGCUCCUGAAUCCUUGACAAAAAACUAUAAUUGUUUAUUCAGAUGAUGUUUCUUUCUCUCUCUCUCUCUCUCUUUUAUUUUCUCUACACUUUAAACCCAAGGUUUUAAUGGGCUUGUAAAAUAAAUACAUGAGUGUAGAUUACAGUGGUAUCAAAGGUGUGAGGAAAGCUCUUCCCUUCUCCUCAGCAGGGCUAAAUGAUCACUUGGUGCACACUUCAGUUGUGCUCUCCAGAGCCUUGGGCAGGAGUGGCUGCGGAUCUGAUGGUAGGAGGGAGGGUAUUUCCAAGACAACACUUAGCCCGGGGCUCCCAUUACAGAUGUGAAGGACCUGUGAUAUAUAUCUUUUUUUUUUUCCUAGUAGGCAGUGAAAUCUGUGCUAGUGGCAAUAUCUGGGGCACAGGGUUGUUGGGGGAGGAGAAAAGCAAGCGAAUAUGGAAAAAAAUUGUAUUUAUCAGGGUAAUCUAGUUCAGGAGCACAAGUACUAAAGCAUUUUAAUCACAGUCAUACGGCUGUGUGUCACCGCAGGGCAAAAUUAAGGCUAUUUGUAUGCCUUGGUAGCACACUGCCACACUUCAACAAGUUUGAAUUUAUUUUAAGCAUAACUUUAACUCUGAAUUCCCUGGGUUUGUAACGUCUGGUCUGGAAAUAAAUGCAACCUCUUUA